rnacentral:rRNA from 1 species
ACGGAGGAUCCGAGCGUUAUCCGGAUUUAUUGGGUUUAAAGGGAGCGUAGGCGGAUUAUUAAGUCAGUUGUGAAAGUUUGCGGCUCAACCGUAAAAUUGCAGUUGAUACUGGUAGUCUUGAGUGCAGCAGAGGUAGGCGGAAUUCGUGGUGUAGCGGUGAAAUGCUUAGAUAUCACGAAGAACUCCGAUUGCGAAGGCAGCUUACUGGACUGUAACUGACGCUGAUGCUCGAAAGUGUGGGUAUCAAACAG